rnacentral:tRNA from 1 species
GGGGCAAUACCAGAGUGGCCAAAUGGGGCAGACUGUAAAUCUGCUGGCGUAUGCCUUCGGUGGUUCGAAUCCAUCUUGCCCCA